UGGCAACCUGGCCUCGUACAGGGGGAUAACACUUAGAAAUAGGUGCUAAUACCGCAUAAGCGCACGGGGCUGCAUGGCCCAGUGUGAAAAACUCCGGUGGUAUAAGAUGGACCCGCGUCUGAUUAGCUUGUUGGCGGGGUAACGGCCCACCAAGGCGACGAUCAGUAGCCGGCCUGAGAGGUGGACGGCCACAUUGGGACUGAGACACGGCCCAAACUCCUACGGAAGGCAGCAG
rnacentral:rRNA from 1 species